CAGUGGGAGAAUAGAACAGUAAGAAAAUCAGACAAAUAGAUGAAUAAAUAGAGACACCACUACAGGGGCCACGUGUUGUUAGUAUUCCUCCUCUUUUAGAUUGGCACUCUAAGGUAGUGUAAACGAAAUUUAAUGAGUAAAAAGAGAAGAAUACUACGAAAUAUUAUCGGUAUCAAUAUUAUCACUGGGUGUUACCAGGAAGCCUGCAGUUGUUAACAGAAACCAUAAUAAACACUCUGAUAUGCUUACAGCUACAUUAUUUAGAUUUAACCAAAAGUGCAUGUUAUUCGAUGGCUUGUGGAGAAUUCAGAUGGCUGAGAUGCAACGUCUGCACUGUUGCUGUGUGUCGAGGGGACACUGUCCAGUAUUGUUUCUCACAUGAAUGUUGAACUGUCUCCAGAGACGAGGCUGACGAGUUUGUGGAGAUCGGUGCACUAAAUGGGAUCUUUGUCCUCGGCCGUAGCAUGGGCUUCAUUGGCCAUUACCUGGAUCAGAAGAGGCUGAAACAGGGUCUGUACCGCCACCCAUGGGAUGACAUCUCCUACGUGCUCCCUGAACACAUGUCCAUGUAAUUCCCUUGUGACAGAAUGGAAAUCACUUCCAGAUGAUGAUGUCAGGCGGUAUUACACAUCUCAUGUAACUUAUAUCUCCUCUCUAGUUAUGAUAGCAGCUGCCGAGGGGGGUGGAACUGGGCGGGGUUACUUUGGAAAGUGGGAAGUACUGUUUAUCUGAGGAACCUGGGUAGAAGUUUUCAAUCUAGUUUUUAUGGAGGAAAAAGGGGAAGUAUAUUUCUAGGCUUAGUUUUUGAGAACUAAUUUAAAAGGUCUGAGAUGUAACUUGUUUAGUUUUUAACAAAGAGCCACACCAAUGCAAAUCCUAGCUGCAGGAGCACAAAAUCACUUGGUAAACAGAGUCAAAAUUGAGAGAUGGUUAUGCUUAGUGGGUACAGGAGGAAGAUUCAAGCAAAAUUUCAGUCCUUAAUCCUGUCUGCAUAGUAACCUCUGUUAAUGGCUGCAAAGCAUUUUUUAAAAUACUUAAUCUGCCUGGUUUAAACCACAAGAACAGGGUGCUUAAAUGUGCUUUCUGGCUUUCCGAGUGCUGCAUCUUAGUUUAUACACUAGAUCCCUUUUUAAACUCCUUCACCUUGAUUCACUCCUAACAACAACAAAAAAAAGUCAAUCUCAUCACAAAAUUAAACCAAAGUUAUUUUAGGGAAUUUGUUGUUUUGUUUAUUUAAUUAAAAAAAGAAAAGGAGAAAAAAAAAAGCAAGAUGCAGUGGUAGAUGGUACAAAUGUCAUGAAAAGGAUACAUCAUCAUGGAAAUGAGAGGAAUUAGACACAAGUCAGGAGUCUCUCCACCAUUUGCCUUUCACGAAACCAGCCCGGGUUAUAGUUAAGUUAAUCAGUUUGUUAGUAUUCUAAUAACUGUCGAAAAAAGGAAGCUGUGGACGCAUCAAGAAGAGGCGAACAAAUGCUUCAUGAAUGAGCCCUGUGAGUCUGGAAAGCCUCUUUUGGUGAGGGACCAUGAAAGCAGUUUGCUUUACUUUGGAAACUUACAGCACAUAAUCCGGAUGUUCUCCAACUUCCAGUAAAAACUCACAACACUCUGUAACAGCCCACUGCAAUGUCUGCUGUGCUUAAUCUGUUUUUAUUUAAAUGUGAAAAAAGCUUUUUUGUUUUGUAAUAUGCUGUCAUAAAGUAGUAAAAUAAAGAACUUGUUUUUCUUUUA